rnacentral:rRNA from 1 species
AACGGCUAUAUCAUGCUGAAUAUACCGGUUCUCGUUAGAUCACCGAAGUCAAGCAUCAUUGAGCGCGGUCAGUACUUGGGUGGGUGACCCCCUGGGAACAACGCGUGUCGUU